rnacentral:rRNA from 1 species
UCAAGCUAUUAAGGGCGUACGGUGGAUGCCUAGGCAGAGAGAGGCGAUGAAGGACGCGGUAAACUGCGAUAAGCUUCGGUGAGCCGUUAAACAGGCUUUGACCCGGAGAUUUCCGAAUGGGGAAACCCGGCAGGGGUAAUGCCCUGUCACUGUGUACUGAAUACAUAGGUACAUAGGGCGAACGAGGGGAACUGAAACAUCUAAGUACCCUCAGGAGAAGAAAACAAUAGUGAUUCCGUAAGUAGCGGCGAGCGAACGCGGAGGAGCCUAAACCAAUACCACUUCGGUGGUAUCGGGGUUGCGGGACCUUAACAUGUGAUUGAUGAAGGGUAGCUGAGCGGUCUGGAAAGGCCGGCCAUAGUGGGUGAUAGCCCCGUAAGCGAAACUCCGAUUCACGCUAGAGGUAUCCCAAGUACCGCGGGACACGAGAAAUCCCGUGGGAAUCCAGGAGGACCAUCUCCUAAGGCUAAAUACUCCUCUCUGACCGAUAGUGAACUAGUACCGUGAGGGAAAGGUGAAAAGUACUCCGAUAAGGAGGGUGAAAUAGAACCUGAAACCGUAUGCCUACAAGCAGUCGGAGCACCAUGUAUAUCAGGUGUGACGGCGUGCCUUUUGCAUAAUGAGUCAGCGAGUUACUCUUGCUAGCGAGGUUAAGUUCAUAGAACGGAGCCGAAGCGAAAGCGAGUCUUAACUGGGCGUCCAGUUAGCAGGAGUAGACCCGAAACCGGGUGAUCUAUCCAUGGCCAGGGUGAAAGGAAGGUAACACUUCGUGGAGGCCCGAACCCACUGGCGUUGAAAAGCCAGGGGAUGAGCUGUGGAUAGGAGUGAAAGGCUAAUCAAACUCGGAGAUAGCUGGUUUUCCUCGAAAUAUAUUUAGGUAUAGCCUCGCGUAUACGUGACGGGGGUAGAGCACUGGAUGGGCUAGGGGUCUCACCAGAUUACCAAACCCAAUCAAACUCCGAAUACCGUCAACGAUCAGCGCGGGAGUCAGACGGCGGGUGAUAAGAUCCGUCGUCAAAAGGGAAAGAGCCCAGACCGUCAGCUAAGGUCCCCAAAUUCAUGCUAAGUGGAAAACGAUGUGGAAAUGCCCAGACAACCAGGAGGUUGGCUUAGAAGCAGCCACCCUUUAAAGAAAGCGUAAUAGCUCACUGGUCGAGUGGAUCUGCGCGGAAAAUGUAACGGGGCUAAGCAUGGUACCGAAGCUACGGGUUGGCGUCUUAAGGCGCCAGCGGUAGAGGAACAUUGUGUAAGCCUGUGAAGGUCGACCGCGAGGACGGCUGGAGGUAUCACAAGAGAUUAUGCUGACAUGAGUAGCGAAAAUGCGGGCGAGAAACCCGCACACCGUAAACCCAAGGUUUCCUUCGUAAAGGUAAUCUGCGAAGGGUUAGUCGGUCCCUAAGGCGAGGCCGAAAGGCGUAGUUGAUGGGAAACAGGUUAAUAUUCCUGUACCACCUGUUGUUGCGAUGGGGGGACGGAGAAGGGUAGGCGAGCCGGGUACUGGUUAUCCCGGUUUAAGCGUGUAGGGGGGGAGAGCAGGCAAAUCCACUUUCCCGUUAACCCUGAGACGUGAUGACGAGAGCGUAUGCUCACAAAGUCGUUGAUCCCAUGCUUCCAAGAAAAGCCUCUAAGCUUCAGACAGCAGGUGACCGUACCGUAAACCGACUCAGGUGGGUGAGGAGAAAAUCCUAAGGUGAUUGAGAUAAUACUGGUUAAGGAACUCGGCAAAAUGACACCGUAACUUCGGGAGAAGGUGUGCCCUCAUUAGGUCUAGCGAUUCGCACGUGAAGCCGAAGAGGGUCGCAGAGAAAUGGCGGUAGCGACUGUUUACUAAAAACAUAGGUCUGUGCUAAGUCGUAAGACGAUGUAUACGGACUGACGCCUGCCCGGUGCUGGAAGGUUAAGGGGAUUUGUUAGCGCAAGCGAAGCUUUGAACCGAAGCCCCAGUAAACGGCGGCCGUAACUAUAACGGUCCUAAGGUAGCGAAAUUCCUUGUCGGGUAAGUUCCGACCUGCA